rnacentral:lncRNA from 13 species
AUGGUUGACUGUGUCAAAGGCCUUUUGAUGGUGAAGAAGUAUCAUUCCACAAAGACAAUUAGCAUGUCCUUGAUCAUCUGGAUGGUAGCAGGGUCUCUGGCAGCAGUGGUUAUUGUCAUAGUGAUGGUGUUGGCAGUUUACUGUGUCCAGAAGAAAAAUAAACCUUCAAAGACGCCAGCUAAUGAUGACAGCCAGGUUGUGGAAUAUGCUGAUGUCAGGAUACUGAAGAAGCAGAUGAGACAGAAGGAGAGGGAGGCGUCGAUCGAGGUGGAGUAUGGACAGUUUAAAACAUUACAGGGUCCCCGGCGGAAGGUAGACACACCUGACACACCUGAGGAGGAGGACUGUGUAUACGCCAGGGUACAGAAAGGCCAGGAAGCAAGGUACUGUCUAGAUUCAAUAUGAUAGAAUAGAAGGACACAGAGUUGAGUCUGUCACGGCCAUCUUCCUGGAAGGAAUAAGAGGACCAAAGCGCAGUGUGGUGAGCGUACAUUUUCUUUUAUUGAUAAAAAUGUUGCCAACAAAAUAAAGGAACGACCAUGAAGCUUAACAGGGCUAUAGUGCCACUAACAAAGAUAACUUCCCACAAUAACAAAAGGGAAAAAGUCUGCCUAAGUAUGAUGCUCAAUCAGAGACAACUAUAGACAGCAGUCCCUGAUUGAGAACCAUACCCGGCCAAAACAUAGAAACACAAAACAUAGAAAUCAGAACAUAGAAUGCCCACCCAAAUCACACCCUGACCAAACCAAAAUAGAGACAUAAAAAGGCUCUCUAAGGUCAGGGCGUGACAGAAUCACUGAGAGUCUGAGAUGAAUCACUGGUUGCGUCCCAAUGAUCUCUCCUUUUCUUGUUUACUUCCCUUCUUGGAUUUGGAAGGAAAUUAAUGGAAUAUGGAAUCUCCCUGUUGCCCAUGCCAACACCAAUCCAAUGCUUGUGGUGAACGAGCGCACAUUUCAGGAAGAAAGAGAUUAUUGGGAUGCACUCCCUGAGAGGCCCAAAGUUGAUACAGACGACAGCUAUGUUGAAUCAUGUUGUCUUAGUUACA